AUUGAACGCUAGCGGGAUGCUUUACACAUGCAAGUCGAACGGAGUGGCGGACGGGUGAGAAAUAUAUAGGAACUUGCCCAGUAACGGUGGAUAACUACUAGCAAGAGGGACUAUUCCCGCAUCCUGUUGGAGCGUCCGUUAUCGGAUGAGAUAGUUGGUGGGGUAAAGGCUCACCAAGUCAACGAUCCGUAGCUGGUUUCAGAGGACGACCAGCCACAUGGGGACUGAGAAACGGCCCAGACUCCUACGGGAGGCAGCAGUGGGGAAUUUUGGACAAUGGGGGAAACCCUGAUCCAGCCAUCCCGCGUGUAUGAUGAAGGCCUUCGGGUUGUAAAGUACUUUUGGCAGAGAAGCGGUAUCUGCAGAAUAAGCACCGGCUAACUACGUGCCAGCAGCCGCGGUAAUAC
rnacentral:rRNA from 1 species